UCAAUAUCAUCAAAGGGAGUUUUUGCUUAUGACUGUCGCAGUGAGUCGUCUGUGUGCUUGCUCUAGGGGUUGGUGAGGUUCGACUUUACUUGUGUUAAGCGCCUUGAGGCUGCUUUGUUGUGAUUUGGUGCUAUAUAAAUUAAAU